rnacentral:lncRNA from 1 species
UUAACAACAUCUUUUAUUCAAUAAUAAAUACAGAGCAACCCCACGUCCACGGGAACGAUCGUGAACGGCACUGAUCUCAAACAACAACAGUACACAACUGAAUUUGAAAAGAAGAACUACAAUGAGGAGAUCGAUGCGCAACAUCAUGACUAACAGUACUUUCAAAGGCGUACUUCAUCAGGGAACCGACUUCAGCGAAUCAUGAAGCACGAGUUAGAAAUGCAGUUGCAGUUAGGAUUCGUGCAUGCAGUCCACUGGCAUGAUUGCAUACAGUAGUACCGCCGCUGUUGCACUCCCUCCUCAGUCACCAUGACGAUGGUCUCGUUUGAAACCCGCGGCAGGCGAGCCAUGGCCGUUGGAGCCACCGCGAGCUGCAAAAGCACCAUUGCAGCCACCAGGGCCACCAUGCCGACUGCCUUGUUGCCAAUCUUCAUACUGCGAGCUUGACUAGCGAGUUGUGAUUUGGUAGGUUUGUUCGUGUGUCUGAUCUGCUCAGCUCCUAUCGUCCUCUGCCCUUUUAUAGGCAGCAGCGGCGAGAUAAGAUCGGAG